rnacentral:rRNA from 1 species
UGGUCAGUAGGUUGGUCGUGCCACCGGUACGUACUGGUCUCACUGAUUCCUCCUUCCUGAAGAACCGUAAUGCCAUUAAUUUGGUGUUGCGGGGAAACAGGACUGUUACUUUGAAAAAAUUAGAGUGUUUAAAGCAAGCUAACGCUUGAAUACAUUAGCAUGGAAUAAUGAAAUAGGACGAUCGAUCCUAUUUUGUUGGCUUCUAGGAUUGACGUA